CCCCUAGAUGUUCUGGGCCGCACGCGCGCUACACUGAACAGUUCAACAAGUCUUAACCUUGGCCGAUAGGUCUGGGUAAUCUUUGAACGCUGUUCGUGAUUGGGAUAGACCUUUGCAAUUAUGGGUCUUCAACGAGGAAUUCCUAGUAAACGCAAGUCAUCAGCUUGCAUUGAUUACGUCCCUGCCCUUUGUACACACCGCCCGUCGCACCUACCGAUUGAAUGGUCCGGUGAAAUCUCGGGACGGCGGCUUGGUCGCUUCCGUCCGACUGCUGAAACUUGAUUAAACCAUAUCAUUUAGAGGAAGGUGAAGUCGUAACA
rnacentral:rRNA from 1 species